UUAAGUUGUACCAGACAUUGUUCAAGAAACAUCGUUCGAAACAGUUGAAAGUAUUUAUUUUUAAAUUUCUGUUAGAAUCUGUGGAAGAAUGGCUGGCGCUAUUGCAUUUAUGAAGGAGAUCUAUAAUGACUCUUUUAAAUGGUCAGUGAUUAAGAGCAUCGGGUUUUUCGCAUUGGGUGUAAAGAUUGCACUCGAUUGUAAGGGAAUGGUUUUAAUGCCACCGAUGUCUUCCUGAAACUAAAAAAUUAACAAAUAUAAUACCUUUUAAUUUGCCAUACUGUACAACCAUGUAAACAUUUCAUUAUUUUAAUGACAUAUUGUGUUUCAAAAUAA